UACGUAGGGCGCAAGCGUUGUCCGGAUUUAUUGGGCGUAAAGAGCGUGUAGGCGGUUCGGUAGGUCCGUUGUGAAAACUCGAGGCUCAACCUCGAGACGCCGAUGGAAACCAUCGAACUAGAGUCCGGAAGAGGAGAGUGGAAUUCCCGGUGUAGCGGUAAAAUGCGCAGAUAUCGGGAAGAACACCCGUGGCGAAGGCGGCUCUCUGGGACGGUACUGACGCUGAGACGCGAAAGCGUGGGGAGCGAACAGG
rnacentral:rRNA from 1 species